GUGUUAAUGGCCCCAGCAACAGCAACCUGGCUCCCGAGUCCCCGAGCACACAACUCUCGAAUACCCGGGGUCGUCCUUCUCAGUCUUCGCUGGCCCACAUACACCAUGCCUCUUCGCCACUGGGGAAAGAUGAGAACUGGACCAACCCUGCAUGCCAGGGCUGUCCGUGCUCCACCUGCCGCCACACUGGAGUCCUCGCUGCCGGUCAGCAGCACAGCUCAGCUCUGAACUCCUCGCUGUGUUUCUUGGGAAACAAACUCAGUGUCCACUGCAGGCUCAGGAACGGUUCCUAAAAAUGCCAAAUGAGAAGAUAUUGUGUUUAUAGUAGCAAAAGCAGGAAAGUACCUGGAAUGAAUGUUUCCGGGAAAGAUGGAGAGGAUCAUACCACUAUCAAAGACAAAAAAGGAGAUCAAGCAAGUGGAAAGACAUCCGACUUAUGGAUUUAUUUUUAAGACAAGACUUCUGGUCAGCUCCAUUUCAUAUGACCGUGGUGAAGAAAGAGAUAAUUCAGCAUAUUUAUAAUUGCAUGAUGACUCAGUUCACAGGGACGGAGCUCCCUGCAGCACAGAGGCUCUUGUGGAUGGGGAAUACUACGAAUUAAA